AGGAGUCCCAGGAGUGCGAGGCCCACAAGGAAUAAAAGGAGACAGGGGGAUACCAGGUGUACAAGGGGCCAGGGGAAGCAAUGGAGCUCAGGGCAGUAAAGGAAAUUCUGGAACCCCAGGAAUUCCCGGAGCAAAGGGUGAAAAGGGUAACAACUUCAAACCUCAUCGAGGGCAGGACACAGGGAGAAAUUC